rnacentral:lncRNA from 1 species
CCACCGAGCCCGGCCAGGAUUGAGUUUUAUACCAGCAGAGGCACUGAAGGGUCUUUCAGAAACUAAGAAGGAGAAAAGCAGAGAACAGGAAGACGUCAACUGUGAGAAUCAGGGGAGAGAGCUCUACUCCCAGGUGCUGCUCACGGGUCCAUUGGGGUUCAUCAGUAUUCUAUUCUGCCUGGCUUAGAUACCACUGGCUCAGUAUUGCAGAGCAUCGUGGCUGAUGUUAUCUGUAUCUAGAGUCAAAUAUCCCUGAGAGUAUAACAGCUUGCUUGGCCCGGUUGAGGAACUCCAAGCCCCCAGACUUUCUAGAAAGUGGCCAUCAUUAGGAUUGAUUUUGCCAGUAAUUUGAUGCAGGGCCUCCAUUUCAUCCGUUGAAAUAAAAAAAAACACCACAGCCCUGUGGUUUUCUCUAAGAUUCAUUUUAGCUUCCUUCUAUAACCUUCAUUAAUCUCUCCAGGAACACCUUGCAGAGUCUCGUUCUAAGCCUUUAGGGCUCUGGGGUUAGAGUUAACUCUUAAUUGAGCCUCCUCUUACCAAGAACAAACAACACAGGCUGUCUACCAGGCAGGAUUUACAUACUCAGACUUACACCUUCUCUUCUCCUCCAUUCAAGACAGGGGGGGCAUGCAGAAGCCUUGAUCUCCGAGUGGUCUGUGGCCGUGAGGUGGAGAGAUACAACUGCUUUGUCGAGGACCCAAGGGAAAACCGAGCCGUGGCUGUCUGAGUCUUAUCAAAGGAAAAACGGUAACAGUACUUUUAUUUUCUUUUAAUGAGUAAUGUAGGGGAAAAAACUUGUAAGUAAGAAUUCGAAACUAAAUUUGCCAAAUAUGCUGAGAGUUGAUCCUUGGAGAAACUUUAUCUUUACUGCAUAGUCAAACACAUCAACUUUGGGGGCACCUGGCAAUUACUAUGUGGCAUAGAUUCAAUUUGUUCUUGUGUAGACAAUAUUAUCUGGCACAGGGAACAGGAAACCUCCACACAUAUUUUAGUAAACACAAUCCCAGAUCGUGAGGAAGGGUUUCUGGGGGCUCCUCAUCGACACAGCCAGCAUCCUGUUUUGCUUUGCAGCCAGUGAAGAGGCAGGGCCCAUCCAAAUCUCCCAGUUGUGGGGGCUCGUUGAGCAGCCUGGGAAGGGCUGAAACAGAGACAGCAGACAUCCUCUGAUGUCUGAAGGUGAUUAAAAGCAAAAGAGGAGAUCUCUGGUAGUCUAUUCUUUUUUCUCUGAUAGAUUGGUGAUUCUCAAAAUUUGGGGGAGGGGGACAAUUUGUGGGAAAGCCUGUAAUGUAUUUGUAUGGCUUAUCCAUAAAGACCAUAAAGCCAGUCUUGAGCAAAAUUCUUGUUAUUUCAGGGAAUAAUUUUACUGCCUUGCAUGUAUAAAGACAUACCUUAUCACUUAUCCAAAACUAUGAUAAUUCCAUUUGGAAGAAUAAUGUGGCAUAGUCAUGGUGCCUUUGCCAAUUUCAGGUGAAUGUCAAAUACUAGUAAUGGGUGAAUAUGUGGCUCUUCAGUCCU